rnacentral:rRNA from 1 species
AGAGUUUGAUCCUGGCUCAGGAUGAACGCUAGCGGCAGGCUUAACACAUGCAAGUCGAGGGGCAGCGGGGAGGAAGCUUGCUUUCUCCGCCGGCGACCGGCGCACGGGUGAGUAACACGUAUGCAACCUGCCCCUGUCAGGGGGACAACCCGCCGAAAGGCGGGCUAAACCCGCGUACAUGCCACCGGGGCAUCCCGGAGGCAGGAAAGGCUUCGGCCGGACAGGGAUGGGCAUGCGGCGCAUUAGGCAGUAGGCGGGGUAACGGCCCACCUAACCGACGAUGCGUAGGGGUUCUGAGAGGAAGGUCCCCCACACUGGUACUGAGACACGGACCAGACUCCUACGGGAGGCAGCAGUGAGGAAUAUUGGUCAAUGGUCGGGAGACUGAACCAGCCAAGCCGCGUGAGGGAUGAAGGUACAGAGUAUCGUAAACCUCUUUUGUCAGGGAACAAAGGCGGGGACGCGUCCCCGGAUGAGUGUACCUGAAGAAAAAGCAUCGGCUAACUCCGUGCCAGCAGCCGCGGUAAUACGGAGGAUGCGAGCGUUAUCCGGAUUUAUUGGGUUUAAAGGGUGCGCAGGCGGUCUGUUAAGUCAGCGGUCAAAGCCCGGGGCUCAACCCCGGCCCGCCGUUGAAACUGGCAGUCUCGAGUUGGAGAGAAGUAUGCGGAAUGCGCGGUGUAGCGGUGAAAUGCAUAGAUAUCGCGCAGAACUCCGAUUGCGAAGGCAGCAUGCCGGCUCCACACUGACGCUGAGGCACGAAAGCGUGGGUAUCGAACAGGAUUAGAUACCCUGGUAGUCCACGCAGUAAACGAUGAAUGCUGGCUGUCCGGGGGGACUGACCCCUGGGUGGCGAAGCGAAAGCGAUAAGCAUUCCACCUGGGGAGUACGCCGGCAACGGUGAAACUCAAAGGAAUUGACGGGGGCCCGCACAAGCGGAGGAACAUGUGGUUUAAUUCGAUGAUACGCGAGGAACCUUACCCGGGCUCAAACGGGGAGUGGCGCAGGCAGAGACGCCUGUUUCCCACGGGACACUCCCCGAGGUGCUGCAUGGUUGUCGUCAGCUCGUGCCGUGAGGUGUCGGCUUAAGUGCCAUAACGAGCGCAACCCCCGCGUGCAGUUGCUAACAGUCAACGCUGAGGACUCUGCACGGACUGCCGGCGCAAGCCGCGAGGAAGGCGGGGAUGACGUCAAAUCAGCACGGCCCUUACGUCCGGGGCGACACACGUGUUACAAUGGGUGGUACAGCGGGAAGCCAGGCGGCGACGCCGAGCGGAACCCGAAAUCCACUCUCAGUUCGGAUCGGAGUCUGCAACCCGACUCCGUGAAGCUGGAUUCGCUAGUAAUCGCGCAUCAGCCAUGGCGCGGUGAAUACGUUCCCGGGCCUUGUACACACCGCCCGUCAAGCCAUGGGAGCCGAGGGCGCUUGAAGUGCGUCGCCGCGAGGCGCGCCCUAGAGCGAAAUCGGUGACUGGGGCUAAGUCGUAACAAGGUAGCCGU